CUAAUUUGAAUUCAUUGUAGAUUCUGGAUAUUAGUCGUUUGUGAGAAGUAUAGAUUGUGAAGGUUUUCUCCCACCCUGUGGGUUGUCUGUUGACUCUGCUGACUGUUCCUUUUGCUAUCCAAAAGCUCUUAAGUUUAAUUAAAUCCCA